rnacentral:tRNA from 1 species
UAAUUAUACUUUUUGCGGAGUGGAGCAGUUUGGUAGCUCGUUGGGCUCAUAACCCGAAAGUCGCAGGUUCAAAUCCGGCCUCCGCUA